rnacentral:rRNA from 1 species
UGCGGCAGCCUACACAUGCAAGUCGAGGGGUAGAAGGAGCUUGCUCCUUUGAGACCGGCGCACGGGUGCGUAACGCGUAUGCAAUCUACCUUGUACAGGGGAAUAGCCCAGAGAAAUCUGGAUUAAUGCCCCAUAGUAUAUAACCUUCGCAUGUUGGUUACAUUAAAGUUCCAACGGUACAAGAUGAGCAUGCGUCCCAUUAGUUAGUUGGUAAGGUAACGGCUUACCAAGACGAUGAUGGGUAGGGGUCCUGAGAGGGAGAUCCCCCACACUGGUACUGAGACACGGACCAGACUCCUACGGGAGGCAGCAGUGAGGAAUAUUGGUCAAUGGUCGCAAGACUGAACCAGCCAUGCCGCGUGCAGGAAGACGGUCCUAUGGAUUGUAAACUGCUUUUAUACAGGAAGAAACCCUCCCACGUGUGGGAGCUUGACGGUACUGUAGGAAUAAGGAUCGGCUAACUCCGUGCCAGCAGCCGCGGUAAU